rnacentral:rRNA from 1 species
AUUGAACGCUGGCGGCAGGCCUAACACAUGCAAGUCGAACGGUAACAGGAAACAGCUUGCUGUUUCGCUGCGGAGUGGCGGGCGGGUGGGCAAUGUCUGGGAAACUGCCUGAUGGAGGGGGUUAUCAACUGGAAACGGUUGCUACAACCGCAUAACGUCGGAAGCCGAAGGAGGGGGAGCCCGGGGCCUCUGGCAAUCGGCUAUGCCCAGAUGGGAUUAGCUUGUUGGUGGGGUAACGGCUCACCAAGGCGACGAUCCGUAGCUGGUCUGAGAGGAUGACCAGCCACACUGGAACUGAGACACGGUCCAGACUCCUACGGGAGGCAGCAGUGGGGAAUAUUGCACAAUGGGCGCAAGCCUGAUGCAGCCAUGCCGCGUGUAUGAAGAAGGCCUUCGGGUUGUAAAGUACUUUCAGCGGGGAGGAAGGGAGUAAAGUUAAUACCUUGGCUCAUUGACGUUACCCGCAGAAGAAGCACCGGCUAACUCCGUG